GCCAGUGUGGCAUAGUGGUUUGAGUGUUGUACUACAACUCUAGAAACCGGGGUUCAAUUCCCAGCUCAGCA